rnacentral:rRNA from 1 species
GGGGGAAUAUUGGACAAUGGGCGAAAGCCUGAUCCAGCGACGCCGCGUGAGUGAUGAAGGCCCUAGGGUUGUAAAGCUCUUUCAGUAGGGAAGAUGAUGACGGUACCUACAGAAGAAGCCCCGGCUAACUUCGUGCCAGCAGCCGCGGUAAUACGAAGGGGGCUAGCGUUACUCGGAAUUAUUGGGCGUAAAGCGUGCGUAGGCGGCUAAAUAAGUUGAAAGUGAAAGCCCAGGGCUUAACCUUGGAAUUGCUUUCAAAACUGUUUGGCUAGAGUAUUGGAGAGGAUAGUAGAAUUCCUAGUGUAGAGGUGAAAUUCGUAGAUAUUAGGAGGAAUACCGGAGGCGAAGGCGACUAUCUGGCCAAUUACUGACGCUGUUGCACGAAAGCGUGGGGAGCAAACAGGAUUAGAUACCCUGGUAGUCCACGCAGUAAACGAUGAGUGCUAGAUAUCGGGACAACAGUUUCGGUGUCGCAGCUAACGCAUUAAGCACUCCGCCUGGGGAUACGGUCGCAAGAUUAAAAC